rnacentral:rRNA from 1 species
GACGAACGCUGGCGGCGUGCCUAAUACAUGCAAGUAGAACGCUGAAGGAGGAGCUUGCUUCUCUGGAUGAGUUUCGAACGGGUGAGUAACGCGUAGGUAACCUGCCUGGUAGCGGGGGAUAACUAUUGGAAACGAUAGCUAAUACCGCAUAAGAGUAGAUGUCGCAUGACAUUUGCUUAAAAGGUGCAAUUGCAUCACUACCAGAUGGACCUGCGUUGUAUUAGCUAGUUGGUGAGGUAACGGCUCACCAAGGCAACGAUACAUAGCCGACCUGAGAGGGUGAUCGGCCACACUGGGACUGAGACACGGCCCAGACUCCUACGGGAGGCAGCAGUAGGGAAUCUUCGGCAAUGGACGGAAGUCUGACCGAGCAACGCCGCGUGAGUGAAGAAGGUUUUCGGAUCGUAAAGCUCUGUUGUAAGAGAAGAACGAGUGUGAGAGUGGAAAGUUCACACUGUGACGGUAUCUUACCAGAAAGGGACGGCUAACUACGUG